rnacentral:rRNA from 1 species
GAAAACUGGGAAAACUUUGAGUGCAGAAAGAGGAGAGUGGAAUUCCACGUGUAGCGGUGAAAUUGCGUAGAGAUGUGGAGGAACACCAGUGGCGAAGGCGACUCUCUGGUCUGUAACUGACGCUGAGGAGCGAAAGCGUGGGGAGCGAACAGGAUUAGAUACCCUGGUAGUCCACGCCGUAAACGAUGAGUGCUAAGUGUUAGGGGGUUUCCGCCCCUUAGUGCUGCAGCUAACGCAUUAAGCACUCCGCCUGGGGAGUACGGUCGCAAGACUGAAACUCAAAGGAAUUGACGGGGGCCCGCACAAGCGGUGGAGCAUGUGGUUUAAUUCGAAGCAACGCGAAGAACCUUACCAGGUCUUGACAUCCUCUGACAACCCUAGAGAUAGGGCUUUCCCUUCGGGGACAGAGUGACAGGUGGUGCAUGGUUGUCGUCAGCUCGUGUCGUGAGAUGUUGGGUUAAGUCCCGCAACGAGCGCAACCCUUGAUCUUAGUUGCCAGCAUUCAGUUGGGCACUCUAAGGUGACUGCCGGUGACAAACCGGAGGAAGGUGGGGAUGACGUCAAAUCAUCAUGCCCCUUAUGACCUGGGCUACACACGUGCUACAAUGGAC